CCCUACUCCAGAAUUCAACAUAUAUUCGUUUCUUCUUCUUCUAUUUCUUCAAACAAUUCGUCGUCCCUCCCACGUGUAAUAAUCAGACCAACUAUAAUGCACGCCCAUAGUUGAUUGGAUUGUUGGAUUAAGAGGAUGUUCGUGGAUAUGGGAAGUCUGGAAACCAAUAUAUUUAUGUUGUUACCUGUUAAAUAUGACGUCGCUCUCACAAAAUGCUUCCUGGGAGGAUAAUCUUUAUGAUAUACGGAGUGAUUUAUGAUUAAUUGUUCUUCACCAGUGUCUAACCAUGACCUUUGAAGUACAAAAUCC